rnacentral:rRNA from 1 species
GAUGAACGCUGGCGGCGUGCCUAAUACAUGCCAGUCGAGCGAACGGACGAGAAGCUUGCUUCUCUGAUGUUAGCGGCGGACGGGUGAGUAACACGUGGAUAACCUACCUAUAAGACUGGGAUAACUUCGGGAAACCGGAGCUAAUACCGGAUGAGAUUUUGAACCGCAUGGUUCAAAAGUGAAAGACGGUCUUGCUGUCACUUAUAGAUGGAUCCGCGCUGCAUUAGCUAGUUGGUAAGGUAACGGCUUACCAAGGCAACGAUGCAUAGCCGAACUGAGAGGGUGAUCGGCCACACUGGAACGGGGACACGGUCCAGACUCCUACGGGAGGCAGCAGUCGGGUAUCUGCCGCAGUAGGCGAAAGCCUGACGGAGCAACGCCACGUGAGUGAUGAAGGUCUUCGGAUCGUAAAACUCUGUUAUGAGGGAAGAACAUAUGUGUAAGUAACUGUGCACAUCUUGACGGUACCUAAUCAGAAAGCAACGGCUAACUACGUG